GGAGGGUGCAAGCGUUGUUCGGAAUUACUGGGCGUAAAGCGCGUGUAGGCGGCCUUUUAAGUCUGAUGUGAAAGCCCGAGGCUCACCCUCGGAAGUGCAUUGGAUACUGGGAGGCUGGAGUACCGGAGAGGAGGGUGGAAUUCCUGGUGUAGCGGUGAAAUGCGUAGAUAUCAGGAGGAGCACCAGUGGCGAAGGCGGCCCUCUGGACGGAUACUGACGCUGAGACGCGACAGCGUGGGGGGGAGCAAACAGGAUUAGAUACCCUGGUAGUCCACGCCGUAAACGAUGGGCACUAGGUGUUCGGGGUUUUUGACCCCCCUGAGUGCCGCAGCUAACGCAUUAAGUGCCCCCGCCUGGGACUACGGCCGCAAGGCUA
rnacentral:rRNA from 1 species